rnacentral:rRNA from 1 species
CCUACGGGAGGCAGCAGUGAGGAAUAUUGGUCAAUGGACGAGAGUCUGAACCAGCCAAGUCGCGUGAAGGAUGACUGCCCUAUGGGUUGUAAACUUCUUUUAUAAAGGAAUAAAACGAGGCACGUGUGCCUUUUUGCAUGUACUUUAUGAAUAAGGAUCGGCUAACUCCGUGCCAGCAGCCGCGGUAAUACGGAGGAUCCGAGCGUUAUCCGGAUUUAUUGGGUUUAAAGGGAGCGUAGAUGGGUUGUUAAGUCAGUUGUGAAAGUUUGGGGCUCAACCGGAAAAUUGCAAUUGAUACUGGCAGUCUUGAGUACAGUUGAGGUAGGCGGAAUUCGUGGUGUAGCGGUGAAAUGCUUAGAUAUCACGAAGAACCCCGAUUGCGAAGGCAGCUUACUAAACUGUGACUGACAUUGAUGCUCGAAAGUGUGGGUAGCAAACAGGAUUAGAUACCCCAGUAGUC